UACAGAGGUCUCAAGCGUUGUUCGGAUUCAUUGGGCGUAAAGGGUGCGUAGGUGGCGCGGUAAGUCGGGUGUGAAAUCUCGGAGCUUAACUCCGAAAUUGCAUUCGAUACUGCCGUGCUCGAGGACUGGAGAGGAGACUGGAAUUCAUGGUGUAGCAGUGAAAUGCGUAGAUAUCAGGAGGAACACCGGUGGCGAAGGCGGGUCUCUGGGCAGUAACUGACGCUGAGGAGCGAAAGCGUGGGGAGCAAACAGG
rnacentral:rRNA from 1 species